UACGUAGGGGGCAAGCGUUGUCCGGAUUUAUUGGGCGUAAAGCGCGCGUAGGCGGCCCGGUAAGUCCGCUGUGAAAGUCAAAGGCUCAACCUUUGAAUGUCAGCGGAUACUGCCGGGCUAGAGUCCGGAAGAGGCGAGUGGAAUUCCUGGUGUAGCGGUGGAAUGCGCAGAUAUCAGGAGGAACACCAACGGCGAAGGCAGCUCGCUGGGACGGUACUGACGCUGAGACGCGAAAGCGUGGGGAGCGAACAGG
rnacentral:rRNA from 1 species